UACGUAGGGUGCAAGCGUUGUCCGGAAUUAUUGGGCGUAAAGAGCUCGUAGGCGGUGUGUCGCGUCGGCCGUGAAAACCUGCAGCUUAACUGUGGGCUUGCGGUCGAUACGGGCAUCACUGGAGUUCGGCAGGGGAGACUGGAAUUCCUGGAGUAGCGGUGAAAUGCGCAGAUAUCAGGAGGAACACCGGUGGCGAAGGCGGGUCUCUGGGCCGAUACUGACGCUGAGGAGCGAAAGCGUGGGGAGCGAACAGG
rnacentral:rRNA from 1 species